UACGAAGGGGGCUAGUGUUGCUCGGAAUCACUGGGCGUAAAGCGCACGUAGGCGGAUCUUUAAGUCAGGGGUGAAAUCCUGGAGCUCAACUCCAGAACUGCCUUUGAUACUGAAGAUCUUGAGUUCGGGAGAGGUGAGUGGAACUGCGAGUGUAGAGGUGAAAUUCGUAGAUAUUCGCAAGAACACCAGUGGCGAAGGCGGCUCACUGGCCCGAUACUGACGCUGAGGCACGAAAGCGUGGGGAGCAAACAGG
rnacentral:rRNA from 1 species